ensembl:lncRNA
UCUUGGAAUUUUGGGGGAAUUUUGGGAUAAUUUUGGGGAAUUUUGGGAUUUUGGGGAAUUUUGGGAAUUUGGGGGGAUUUUAGGGAUUUUUUGGGGAAAUUUGGGGAGAUUUUGGGGAAUUUUGUGGGGAUUUUUUGGGGGCUUUUCUCGGAUUUUUGGGGAAUUUUGGGGGGGAUUUUGGGAUUUUUGGGAUUUUUUGGGGAAAUUUGGGGGAUUUUUGGGGGAUUUGGGGGAAUUUUUGUGAUUUUGGGGUUUUUGGGGUCCCUCUUUCCCAUUUUGGGGUCCCCAACAACUUUUGGGGCUCCUGGGUUGGGAUUUUGGGGUGAUUUUGGUGGAUUUUGGGUGGAUUUGGGUGAAUUUUGAUCAUUCCUGGGUCGAUUUUCGCGGGAAUUUUGGGAAUUUCUGGGAAUUUUGGGGGAAUUUUUGGGAUUUUGGGGUUUUUGGGGUCCCUCUUUUUAAUUUUGGGGUCCCCAACAACUUUUGGGGCUCCUGGGUUGGGAUUUUGGGGAUUUUGGGGGGAUUUUGGGGGGAUUUUUUAGGGGAUUUUGGGAUUUUUUUUACUUUUUUUGAGGAUUUUUGGGGAGAAUUCGGGGGAUUUUGGGAAAAUUUGGGAUUUUUGGGAUUUGGGGAAUUUUUUGGGAAUUUUUUGGAUUUUUUGGGGAUUUUUGGGGAUUUUUUGGGGAAUUUUUGGGGGGAUUUUUGAUGAAUAUUUUGAAAUUUUGGGGGGAAUUUUGGGAAUUUUUGGGAGAUUUUUUGGGAAUUUUUUGGGGAUUUUGGGGGAAUUUUUGGGAUUUGGGAAAAUUUGGAUUUUGGGGAAUUUUGGGGUUUUUUUGGGGUUUUUUUGGGUCAUUUUUAUGAUUUUUUUCCCCAUUUUUUCUCCUAUUUUCCCCAUUUUUGGGCCGUUUUUCCCCGGGUUUUUUUUGGGAAUUCAGGAAUUCUGGGAACUCCAAAAAAUUCCAGGAAUUCCGGGAUAAUUUUGGGAUAAAUCUGGAAUUUUUUGGGGAUAAUUUGGAAUUUUUUGGGGUCAUUUUUAUGAUUUUUUCCCCAUUUUUCCUCGGAUUUUCCCCAUUUUUGGGCCGUUUUUCCCCGGGUUUUUUUUGGGAAUUCGGGAAUUCCUGGAAUUCCUGGAAUUCCAGGAUAAUUUUGGGAUAAUUUCAGGAUUUUUUGGGGAUAAUUUGGAAUUUUUUGCGUCAUUUUUAUGAUUUUUUUCCCCAUUUUUCCUCGGAUUUUCCCCAUUUUUGGGCCGUUUUUCCCCGGGUUUUUUUUGGGAAUUCGGGAAUUCUGGGAAUUCCAAAAAAUUCCUGGAAUUCCGGGAUAAUUUUGGGAUAAUUUCAGGAUUUUUUGGGGAUAAUUCAGAAUUUUUUGGGUCAUUUUUAUGAUUUUUUUCCCAUUUUUUUCUCCUAUUUUCCCCAUUUUUGGGCCGUUUUUCCCCGGGUUUUUUUUGGGAAUUCGGGAAUUCUGGGAAUUCCAAAAAAUUCCAGGAAUUCCAGGAUAAUUUUGGGAUAAUUUCAGGAUUUUUUGGGAUUAAUUCAGAAUUUUUUGGGGUCAUUUUUAUGAUUUUUUUUCCCAUUUUUUCUCGGAUUUUCCCCAUUUUUGGGCCGUUUUUCCCCGGGUUUUUUUUGGGAAUUUGGGAAUUUCGGGAAUUCCCAUGAAUUUUGGGAUAAUUCGGGAUAAUUUUGGGGAAUAAUUUCUCUAAAAUUUGG